AUACGGAGGGUGCAAACGUUGCUCGGAAUCAUUGGGCGUAAAGCACACGUAGGCGGCCAAGUAAGUUGGAUGUGAAAGCCCAGGGCUUAACCCUGGAAGUGCAUCCAAAACUGCGGGGCUUGAGUGCCGGAGGGGCUCAGAGAAUUCCCGGUGUAGAGGUGAAAUUCGUAGAUAUCGGGAGGAAUACCAGUGGCGAAGGCGCUGGGCUGGACGGUUACUGACGCUGAGGUGUGAAAGCGUGGGGAGCAAACAGGAUUAGAAACCCGAGUAGUCC
rnacentral:rRNA from 1 species